AAUUAUGUUUUGCAAAGGAUGUCUUAGCUCAAUAGAUGAUAAAGAAUGUUGUGACAUGCAUUAUUAAUUGUGAAUUGCAGAAUUCCGUGAACCAACACGUUUUUGAAUGUUAUGUGCACCUUCGGGAUAUGCUUGGAGGCUUGCUUGAUUCAAUGCCAAC
rnacentral:rRNA from 1 species